rnacentral:rRNA from 1 species
UACGGGGGGGGCAAGCGUUGUUCGGAAUUACUGGGCGUAAAGGGCGCGUAGGCGGCCUGCUAAGUCGGAUGUGAAAUCCCUCGGCUCAACCGAGGAACUGCAUCCGAUACUGGCGGGCUUGAAUCCGGGAGAGGGAUGUGGAAUUCCAGGUGUAGCGGUGAAAUGCGUAGAUAUCUGGAGGAACACCGGUGGCGAAGGCGGCAUCCUGGACCGAUAUUGACGCUGAUGCGCGAAAGCCAGGGGAGCAAACGGG